AUCAUGGCUCAGGAUGAACGCUAGCUACAGGCUUAACACAUGCAAGUCGAGGGGAACGAUAUUGGAAGCUUGCUUCCGAUAGGCGUCGACCGGCGCACGGGUGAGUAACGCGUAUCCAACCUGCCCAUCACUUGGGAAUAACCUUGCGAAAGUAAGACUAAUGCCCAAUGACAUUUAUAGAAGGCAUCUGAAAUGAAUUAAAGAUUUAUCGGUGAUGGAUGGGGAUGCGUCUGAUUAGCUUGUUGGCGGGGUAACGGCCCACCAAGGCGACGAUCAGUAGGGGUUCUGAGAGGAAGGUCCCCCACAUUGGAACUGAGACACGGUCCAAACUCCUACGGGAGGCAGCAGUGAGGAAUAUUGGUCAAUGGGCGAGAGCCUGAACCAGCCAAGUAGCGUGCAGGAAGACGGCCCUAUGGGUUGUAAACUGCUUUUAUAGGGGAAUAAAGUGAGCCACGUGUGGUUUUUGCAUGUACCCUAUGAAUAAGGACCGGCUAAUUCCGUG
rnacentral:rRNA from 1 species